rnacentral:snRNA from 1 species
CGGAUGGGGGCCGGCGAUGCGUCCUGGUCG